rnacentral:rRNA from 1 species
AUUGAACGCUGGCGGCAGGCCUAACACAUGCAAGUCGAGCGAGCGGCGGACGGGUGAGAAAUGUGUGGGAAACUGCCCGAGGGGGGGGGGUAACAACAGGAAACGGUAGCUAAUACCGCACACAAUCAGAUGUGUCCAGAUGGGAUUAGCGAGUUGGUGGGGUAACGGCUCACCUAGGCGACGAUCCCUAGCUGGUCUGAGAGGAUGACCAGCCACACUGGAACUGAGACACGGUCCAGACUCCUACGGGAGGCAGCAGUGGGGAAUAUUGCACAAUGGGCGCAAGCCUGAUGCAGCCAUGCCGCGUGUGUGAAGAAGGCCUUCGGGUUGUAAAGCACUUUCAGCGGGGAGGCGUUACCCGCAGAAGAAGCACCGGCUAACUCCGUGCCAGCAGCCGCGGUAAUAC